rnacentral:rRNA from 1 species
GACGAACGCUGGCGGCGUGCUUAACACAUGCAAGUCGAACGGUAAGGCCCUGCUUUUGUGGGGUGCUCGAGUGGCGAACGGGUGAGUAACACGUGAGUAGCCUGCCCUUUACUUUGGGAUAACUUCAUGAAACUCGGGCUAAUACCGGAUAUGAGCUCCUUCUGCAUGGUGUGUGUUGGAAAGUUUCGGCGUUUGGGGAUGGACUCGCGGCUUAUCAGCUUGUUGGUGGGGUAGUGGCUUACCAAGGCUUUGACGGGUAGCCGGCCUGAGAGGGUGACCGGCCACAUUGGGACUGAGAUACGGCCCAGACUCCUACGGGAGGCAGCAGUGGGAAAUAUUGCACAAUGGGCGGAAGCCUGAUGCAGCAACGCCGCGUGCGGGAUGACGGCCUUCGGGUUGUAAACCGCUUUCGCCUGUGACGAAGAGUGAGUGACGGUAAUGGGUAAAGAAGCACCGGCUAACUACGUG